rnacentral:lncRNA from 1 species
CUGAGGACCAGCCUGCUGCCUCCCCAGCUGGACAGAGUUCUCUUGGCUAGGGAUGGACUUCCUAUGAUUGCAGUGUGCUUAUGAUGGUCCAGAACACUCC